rnacentral:tRNA from 1 species
GCGGCGAUAGUCUAGUGGUCAAGACGCUGCGUCAAUGUGUCUUGCAAACACAAGCUAUUUCUCAGUUACUGUUUGCGGUCGUUUCGACGUAGAUGGUGCUGUAGGGAGACGCAGAGAUCGUGGGUUCGAACCUCACUCGCCGCA